CAGAAAAGCAGGAAAGGCUAUUGAAUCUGUUGCCAAAAAAAGUUGCAAUGAGGCUCUUGAUGAAGAAAUAAAAAUGAAUGAUGGGAAAGUUGAAAUAAGAGUUGCGGCUGAUGCUGGAUGGCAAACAAGAUCUAGUGGAAGGAAAUAUAACAGCUAUUCAGGUCACAGUUCACUAAUAGGUGAUAAAUCUGGGAAAAUAGUGCGGUAUGAUUAUAGAUGCAGAAAAUGCAGACUUUGUGAAAAUGCAAAAAGAAAAGGCAUUCAGCCC